GCCUUGGUAGCUCAAUUGGCUAGAGCGUGGGACUUUUACACCGAUCUGAACGCGGAAUCCCAAGGUUGCGGGUUCGACCCCCGCCUGAGGCG
rnacentral:tRNA from 1 species